UCCCGGGGAGGAAAGCUCCGCAAGGGGCACUGGAUGAGGGGCCUGCGUAGCAUCAGCUAGUUGGUGGGGUAAUGGCCUACCAAGGCUAAGACGCUUAGCUGGUCUGAGAGGAUGAUCAGCCACACUGGGACUGAGACACGGCCCAGACUCCUACGGGAGGCAGCAGUGGGGAAUAUUGGACAAUGGGCGCAAGCCUGAUCCAGCCACGCCGCGUGAGUGAUGAAGGCCUUCGGGUCGUAAAGCUCUGUGGGGAGGGACGAAUGGCGCCGUGAAGAGCGGCGAGUGACGGUACCUCCUUAGCAAGCACCGGCUAACUUCGUG
rnacentral:rRNA from 1 species